GCCCAGGUGGCGGAACAGGCAGACGCGCCAGCUUGAGGGGCUGGUGCCCGUCUUAGGGCGUGGAGGUUCGAAUCCUCUCCUGGGCA
rnacentral:tRNA from 1 species